GAUCAUGGCUCAGGAUGAACGCUGGCGGCGUGCUUAACACAUGCAAGUCGAACGAAGAUGCCGGAGUGCUUGCACUUUGGCAGACUGAGUGGCGGACGGGUGAGUAACGCGUGGGUAACCUGCCUUAUACAGGGGGAUAACAGUUGGAAACGACUGCUAAUACCGCAUAAGCGCACGGUAUCGCAUGAUACAGUGUGAAAAACUCCGGUGGUAUAAGAUGGACCCGCGUCUGAUUAGCUAGUUGGUGAGGUAACGGCCCACCAAGGCGACGAUCAGUAGCCGGCCUGAGAGGGUGAACGGCCACAUUGGGACUGAGACACGGCCCAAACUCCUACGGGAGGCAGCAGUGGGGAAUAUUGCACAAUGGGGGAAACCCUGAUGCAGCGACGCCGCGUGAGUGAUGAAGUAUUUCGGUAUGUAAAGCUCUAUCAGCAGGGAAGAUAAUGACGGUACCUGACUAAGAAGCACCGGCUAAAUACGUG
rnacentral:rRNA from 1 species